rnacentral:lncRNA from 1 species
CGCCACUGUGCGGAAAGGAAUCACCCCUGUGGUAGCCCGUGCGCCGGCCAAAUGCGGGAUCGCGCAACAGACGCAGCGUCGACACGUGGCCACCGACCAAGGCCGCGUCCACGGGACGCGCUCUCUGCCAUACGCGUGGAUCGCAGCCGACCCGGCGCGCCAGCCAGUCGAGCACGUCAUUGCGCCCUGCAGCGGCGGCCGACCGGAUAGAUGCCUCGGCGACGUCACCCCGUGACAUGGAGUUUAGCGCCUUGUUGAUAAGCCACGCCACGACGCCAACAUGUCCCGCGGCCGCCGCGGCGCCGGCGACGCGUGGACGCGUACUUGUGCAAUAGCAAUUCUUGUAUCGUAGGACCAACUCAAUGGUGGUCAAGUUGCCGGCGGCUGCGGCAAUCUCUAGCGCCUCGCAGACACAGGACUCUCUUGCUCCACAUAGGGCCCAUGCCGUGUGCGCCACCAUGGCGUUGUGCCCAGAGGCGAUGGCUGCGACCGCACCGUCGAGUAUGUGGCUCUCGUGGACCCGAUGGCGCAAUGGGGAUUGCGCAGACGUCGUCUCGAUGCAAAAAGAAUAGGCGUCGACGUGGCCACCGGCGACGGCGGCGGCGAUCGUGUCGCCGGCGUGCUGGUCAAAGAGCGGCUGAUGGUCUCGAUGCAGCAUACGCAAUGUGGCGACGUGGCCACUGCGCGCCGCGCCCACAAAUGCCUUUGCCGACGGCGUGUAGGGCACCAACAUCUGUGCUGCGAUCCGAUCAUAGACGUCGAGCCGACCGUGGGCGAGAGCGGCGUCGGCCGCACGCUGCAGACCGUCGACACUGUCGACGGCAGGUCGCCGGUCCAACAGAAAAAGGACCACGUUAAAGUGCCCGGCGUCGGCGGCAUCGGCGAUGGCACGCCCUGUGCACCCCUCGGACCGUCUCUCGUCAAGGUAGGCGACGGCGCCGAGAUGACCGUUGGCGGCGGCCGCAUCCAUGGCGCGUCGAUCGCCUGGCUGCCUCACAGGACAGUCGUCGGUGAGCGCGUGCAACAUCGGCACGUCGCCGUUGGCCGCCGCCGCAGCCAAGGCCACCGCUGUCGAGCCCUCGGUGCGGUUGCACAAGAGAUAGGCGACAAUGUCUCGAUGGCCGUUGGCUGCGGCACGGUUGACGGCGCCCACCGAACAUCCCUCGGUGCGUCUCUCGCAAAGGUAGAUGACCACGUCCAGAUGACCGUUGGCUGCGGCAUAGUCUAUGGCGCGACGCGUGCAUCCCUCGGUGCGAUGGCGGUGGAGAAAGUCGACAAUGUCCAGACGACCGCGGGCGGCGGCGCGGUUCAUGGCAUAUGUCGUGCAGCCCUCUUGGCGAUGGUGCUGCAGAAAGACCACGAUAUCAAGGUGGCCACCGUCGACGGCACAGUCCAUCACAUUUCGGUCAAAUCCAGGCGCGUCCAUCUCGUGCAGUGCCACAAGGAGCCGAAAAUGGCCGCGGUAGGCGGCCAGGCAUGGUGCCGCUGCGUGGUCGCUCAAGUCCAUGCGCCCCAGCGCCACGAGGCCGCGGACGGCCAUUGUAUUGCCGGCGGCCAGCAAGUCUGACGGAACGGACCAGGCGCGCGAGGCCACGAUACGUCGCGCAUAGUCGGCCGGCGAGUGGGCGCGCCACAAGCGCGAUGCCGACACACACGCGCAAAAAUCAACGUCGCCAAGGAGACUCGUGAUGCCGUUGAUGAUCUCGGGCGGCAAGUCGCAGAGGCUCGUCAGAGGCCCUCGUGGUUGCUUCAUGUUUUUGUCCUUUUUGUAUUGUUGUCUGGAUGACCCGUUUUUUUACAGACCCGCCCUUUCGUCGGC